rnacentral:tRNA from 1 species
AGCAGUGUGGCUCAGUGGAAAUAGCACGGGCUUGGGAGUCCGAGAUCAUGGGUUCGAAUCCCGGCUCUGCCA